rnacentral:ribozyme from 1 species
AAAAAAAAAAAAAAAAAAAAAAAAAAAAAACUGUCAACCCCUUACUUGGAGUAUUUUUAAACGCCCAAUUAG